AUGAAGUGGGUCUGGCCCUUUGCCUGCCUCACCUUCUUUUAUGCAGAAGUCACAUCAAAUAUCCAGGUAGAGCAACCAAACCAAACCUUAACUGUAUAUGUUGGAAGGGCCAUCACCUUACAAUGCACCCUGAAAGGAGGAGACAUGAAAAGCCAUCAUAUGACCUGGUACAAGAAAAACUGGGAUAACUCCUUGACUUUUGUAUAUCAAGACAAGGACAAAUAUGGUCCUGGUUUCCAGAGAAAUUUCUUAGGGAACAUAGAUUCUGACAACAAUUUCUUCACACUUAAAAUUUUCAAGGCGACAGUAAAGGACGCUGGGACUUAUUACUGUGGUUCAGUUAUCCACGGUUGCUCCUGGGACACCCGAGCAAUGUAUUUUGGAACUGGUACUGAGCUAUCAGUAGAGCCAGAAUCCCAAGAGCCUUCUACGCCCUCAGUCUUUGUCAUGAAAAAUGGGACCAAUGUUGCAUGUCUGGUGAAAGACUUCUACCCCAAGUCCGUGGAUAUACAACUCUACCCAGACAACAGUGCCACAGAAGGAGUGGUCACCACUACCAAUGGGAAGUACAGCGCUGUCAAGCUUGGUCAAUAUAAAAAAGAUUUGGAGCAAAUUAAGUGUACAGUUCAGCACAACAAUAUGACCGUGGAGGCUUCUUACAAAAGUUCCCAUGAGGAUUCCACUGACAAGAGUUCAGACCCAGAGGAUCCCAUUGACCAGCUGUCAUCUUUCCAAAAGUGCCACAAACCCUCAGUGCAAAUUGAAAAAGUGAACUUGCUGUCCAUCACCCUGCUGGGGCUCCGUGUGCUGCUCGCCAAGAGCAUUGCUGUCAACAUUUUCUUGACUAUCAAGUGUUUUUUACACUAAGGCUUGUCUACGCCACAAGGAAUAAAGUAACCAAGAACCCACUGAGAUGUUUUCCCUUGACUCCCCCUUGCUGGGAUGCAAAUGUUGCUGACUAUUUUGACUGGCAGAUCUUUUUCAUAAUUGCUUUUGCUUUGGAAAAAUUAGAACCAACUCUUUUCAAAGCCAGGUGGAAAGCUAGCCCUGGAGGAUUCUGAUUCUAUGUACCGAUGUGUUUCUGUAACUUUGAAAAGGGACGUGGAAUUGUUUCACCACUUUGGCCACCAGAUUUAAACACUUGAAUAGUGUUCCCGCACCCUUCUGAUUUCUGCUACCUCCAGAAUUUGAACCAAGGGGAGAGAGGAGAAGCUUUAGGUUUGUCCCGAACCCCACACCCACUCUUCCCAAUGUGCCCAUCUUCUCUGUGCUUGUCUUGGUAGCCCCAAAAGAGAUAGUGUCAGAAAUUCCCUUUUUUCUAGAACCCUGGACCUAGAAAAGACCCCAGAGUUCAUCUCAACCAACCCUCAUUUGCAGCAUGAAUUAAACAUCGUUGGCAAAUGACUGUUUAGCCUCUACAGAAAGAAAUAUAGUGAUGAGGAAUUCAUUACCCCAUAAGGCAGCCCAUUAGAGGCAGCAUGGAACAGUGGAGGGCGAGCAGGGUUUUAGAGCACUGGAGACAGGAUCAGGAAGAGCUGGGU